UACAGAGGGGGCAAGCGUUGUUCGGAAUUACUGGGCGUAAAGGGCGCGUAGGCGGCCCGCUAAGUCGAACGUGAAAUCCCCGGGCUCAACCCGGGAACUGCGUCCGAUACUGGUGGGCUCGAAUCCGGGAGAGGGAUGCGGAAUUCCAGGUGUAGCGGUGAAAUGCGUAGAUAUCUGGAGGAACACCGGUGGCGGAGGCGGCAUCCUGGACCGGUAUUGACGCUGAGGCGCGAAAGCCAGGGGAGCAAACGGG
rnacentral:rRNA from 1 species